rnacentral:rRNA from 1 species
UACGUAGGGGGCAAGCGUUGUCCGGAUUUAUUGGGCGUAAAGAGCGUGUAGGCGGCCGUACAGGUCAGCUGUGAAAACUCGAGGCUCAACCUCGAGACGUCGGUUGAAACCGUACGGCUAGAGUCCGGAAGAGGAGAGUGGAAUUCCCGGUGCAGCGGUGAAAUGCGCAGAUAUCGGGAAGAACACCCGUGGCGAAGGCGGCUCUCUGGGACGGUACUGACGCUGAGACGCGAAAGCGUGGGGAGCGAACAGG